GGAAAUAAGCAGGCAGCCUCAUGCAGUUUUGAGCAGGGGCCGAGAUCAGAGGAGGCGGGCGGCGGGGGCCCCACAAAGGGGCGACUGGAAGCCGGAGCUGUCUCUCCGCCCGGUCGGGCACCGGGCGCGGCAGGCGAAGGCUGCUUCUUUGACCUGGGCGCAGGCUGGAAACCCCGGUCUUGCUGUCUCUUUUCUUAUCUACCAUGUUCCCCCGGCCAGGGCUGCCUGGGGUGGCUCCUGUUAUUGUGGCUGCUUUUGGAGACGGUGGUUGAGACCCUCGGACGAACGGUCAAGCCGAUUGUAAAUGCUCUUAUUUCCCUAUUCUUCAGGGACACCAGCCCCAACGAAAGACCUUGGGCGAUUUCAAGGCGCAGGCACCUCGAUUCCCCGAAUUUGUGGUGUGGCCGGUAUCGGUGUUCCCUUGGUUUAACUAGCCUGUCUGAAGGCGAAGAUCAUACUUGGGCAAGUACAACCGAAACCAGUCCUCCCCUGGCCCCUCCACCCCAAGGGUCUUCAUUUUCCCAAUCUACAUCUGCCUGUGACUCCAGAAAGACAAGCUUCAGAUUGGCCAAGGCUUGA
rnacentral:lncRNA from 1 species